AGGCGUGAGAAAUCCCUCAAAUCAUUUGAAGGAAAGAUUGGCCCCACUCCACUGAAACCCCUGGUCUGCAGGUGUCCCCUAGGAGACCUUUACUGAACAUCAAAGAAUGGCAGUGGAAUUUUCAUUGUGAUCUGUCAGCCUGUGGGAGAGAGCCCAGCACAAGGACCCACAGCUGGUUAUGGUCCUGCACCAAGCUCUCCAUGCUGACACCUACACAAGGCCCUUGGCUUUCUUUGGACAUUGGAACAGACAAACAUUCUUUCUGCGGAUGUUCUGAAAAAACGUUUCUCCUGAAACAAAAUCAGGAAAACAGAUUAAUGACUGUGUGUGUUCUCUGGGAUAAUGUGUCUAUCAGGAACCCUAUAUUCUCCCUUAAAAGAUGCUGUGCAU